GGCUCAAGGUGGUCACAUCCGCAUUGAUCGCCGAGCGGGCAGAUCGAAUAGCGCUGGACAGGGAGAUUAAGCGGCGGACAUCCCUUUUCCAGGCUGAUAGAGUGAGGCUACAGGCAUACGCUCGGGCAGAUGCAUCACGCAGUGAACUCGUCCGACUGCUCGAAACAUCACAACAACGAGGUAUGAUGCAGUGUCGGCAUGCGUGAGUAGUGUAGGCUGGCGUGCACGUACACAUGCCUUGACUUGUGUGUGGACAUCGAUUGACAUUCAGGACUCGUUGACGGCACAAUUCAACAGUUGCUGCGGGGUAUCAUCCGGGGUCUCAGCGUCAAAGGACAACAACGCCAGCCGGAGGAGGUAGCUUUUUACAUUGCCCCUUGCAGUGACGUGGGUGUCCGUGCUCCAACCCGUCGUGCUGACUAUUGACCAAAUGCACAUUGGCUGGCGCCUAAGGUACGCGGGCCUCCUGUGGGGUACAUUAAAAGCCAGGAGCAUGGCCAUGCGUUCACGGGCGAAUGACUGGUACCAAAUAGGAUCAGCAAUGUCGACACUGUAACAUGUGCUGCAGGCGCCAGCUCAUCAACCCCCGGAAGAUGAUGAUGAUCGGGCCAUACCUCAUCAGCUUCCCUGCACUGCGCGCGCUGAGCAAGCGCAUGCCCCAUGUCAACAUCUCGUCCCAGGAUCUCAACUACAAGGACAAACAGAACCAGCGCGCCACUCUCAAGUAGGCUCUAUCCAACCUGGAAUUAGGUACAGACUGGUUUGUGGCUGACUUACCGCCAUUCACUGACAGACAGGUUGGCCGACCUUGACAUGGAUCCCUCAACUGGAAGCGUCAAGGCAGUCAGUGUGCUGCGUGACGCACUGGAGACAGGUUCACACAAUCCGGUUGGCGGUGAUGGUCCUAUCGUUGACGGCUCGUAUUAUGCUACCUUCCUCUAUGUGACGUUCAUGCAUUAUUUAGUAGCUGGCCGCUGAAAAGGCCUCUCGAGAUGCUGGUGGUCGUGCUAUGCGUGUACCAGCUUACCGUGCUUACUGUGUACCAGCUACUACAGCUACAUUGUGCCGGGCCACACUACUGCAGGGCAGGCGCGUGUGCUUACAUUUCUUUGUCUGCGUGAAUGAUUGGAUGUAUGAAUGAAUGGACGAAUGAAAGGUGUGGUUAACAUGCCCCUGGUUUGGUUCGGUUCGGGUGGUGGUAUCUUUUUGAACACAUGUAGUCUGGUCGAGUGCCGGGGGCCCUUAGCAGGACUGAAGCACAGUUCAAGACGAGGCGUGUGGAUAUGUCUGCUUGUCUGAACGAAGGAAUGAAUGAAUGAAUAGACCGGGUGUUAAAAUUGUGAGCGACUUGCCAUGCAGACACACCUUUGGUUCUGGUCGGUUCGGGUGAUGGUAACUUUCACACAUACACACACAAUGAAUGUAUGGGUGAAUGAGUACGGA
rnacentral:lncRNA from 1 species